rnacentral:rRNA from 1 species
UAGGGAAUCUUCGGCAAUGGGGGCAACCCUGACCGAGCAACGCCGCGUGAGUGAAGAAGGUUUUCGGAUCGUAAAGCUCUGUUGUAAGUCAAGAACGAGUGUGAGAGUGGAAAGUUCACACUGUGACGGUAGCUUACCAGAAAGGGACGGCUAACUACGUGCCAGCAGCCGCGGUAAUACGUAGGUCCCGAGCGUUGUCCGGAUUUAUUGGGCGUAAAGCGAGCGCAGGCGGUUUGAUAAGUCUGAAGUUAAAGGCUGUGGCUCAACCAUAGUUCGCUUUGGAAACUGUCAAACUUGAGUGCAGAAGGGGAGAGUGGAAUUCCAUGUGUAGCGGUGAAAUGCGUAGAUACAUGGAGGAACACCGGUGGCGAAAGCGGCUCUCUGGUCUGUAACUGACGCUGAGGCUCGAAAGCGUGGGGAGCGAACAGGAUUAGAUACCCUGGUAGUCCACGCCGUAAACGAUGAGUGCUAGGUGUUGGAUCCUUUCCGGGAUUCAGUGCCGCAGCUAACGCAUUAAGCACUCCGCCUGGGGAGUACGACCGCAAGGUUG